CCUACGGGCGGCAGCAGUGGGGAAUAUUGGGCAAUGGAGGCAACUCUGACCCAGCAACGCCGCGUGAAGGAGGAAGGUCUUCGGUUUGUAAAGGUCUGGCAGGGGGGAUGAAGACAGUGACGGUACCCAAAUAGCAAGCCACGGCUAACUACGUGCCAGCAGCGGCGGUAAAACGUAGGUGGCAAGCCUUAUCCGGAGUGACUGGGCGGAAAGGGGGCGUAGGUGGUGUAGGAGGUUGGCGGUGUAAGUCAGGGGCUCAACCUCGGCGCUACCGCCAAAACUAUUAGACUGGAGUGCAGGUGGGGUAAGUGGAAUUCCUAGUGUAGCGGUGGAAUGCGUAGAUAUUAGGAGGAACAUCAGGGGCGAAGGCGACUUACUGGACUGUAACUGACACUGAGGCACGAAAGCGUGGGGAGCAAACAGGAUUAGAUACCCGUGUAGUC
rnacentral:rRNA from 1 species